rnacentral:misc_RNA from 1 species
CUGGCUUCCUCCGCCUCCUGAAGAUGAAAAUGAGGAGGCAGAGAGUAAUUUCUUUACAUAUGAUGACGAUGAUGACGAUAUUGGGGACUCAGGUGCAUUGUUCUUAUCUUCUAGUAGCCUAUCUAGUAUGUUUCCGUCAAAGGAGAAACAUAAUGAGGAUAACAAGGAGCCUCUCAGAACUGUGAUACAGGGGCAUUUCAGGGCUCUUGUAUCCCAGCUUCUACAUGGGGAGGGUAUCAAAGUCGGCGAAGAUGAUGAUAGUGAAGACUGGCUUGACAUAGUUACAUCAAUAGCGUGGCAAGCUGCAAAUUUUGUGAAACCAUAUACUAGCAGAGGAGGCAGUAUGGAUCCUGGUAAUUAUGUAAAGGUUAAAUGUAUAGCAUCAGGAAGCCCAAGUGAUAGCACCCUUGUGAAGGGAGUAGUUUGUACAAAAAACAUAAAGCAUAAGCGCAUGACUACACAAUACAAAAAUCCCAGAUUACUUCUUUUAGGAGGAGCACUCGAAUAUCAGAGUGUUGUGAAUCAGUUGGCAUCUUUUAAUACAUUGGUGCAACAGGAAAAUGAUCAUCUUAAGAUGAUUAUGUCAAAGAUAGAGGCUCUUCGUCCAAAUGUUCUGCUAGUAGAGAAGAGUGUAUCUCCGUAUGCCCAAGAAUAUCUACUGGCAAAGGAAAUUUCUUUGGUGCUCAACGUGAAAAGGCCACUACUGGAGCGGAUAGCUCGGUGCACGGG